GUUGAUGGUGUCAGUUUGCAGGAGGUACUUGGCACUCUCAAACCAGCCCAAGUUGGCACUGGUGCCAGCUUGGUCCUGGGAGGCAUCCUGCGAUAUGCGGAAUUUUAAAAGCCAGAAGGCUGCUCUGAGCCACAGCCCCUAGAACACAAAAACCGCCCCUUUUCCCUGGGAAAUAAAACUCACCAACCCUAGUUGAUGGUGUCAGUUUGCAGGAGGUACUUGGCACUCUCAAACCAGCCUGAGUUGGCACUGGUGCCAGCUUGUUCCUGGGAGGCAUCCUGCGAUAUGCGGAAUUUUAGGAGCCAGAAGGCUGCUCUGAGCCACCGGCCCUGCAACACCAACGCUGCCCCUUUUCCCAGUUUGCAGGAGGUACUUGGCACUCUCAAACCAGCCUGAGUUGGCACUGGUGCCAGCUUGUUCCUGGGAGGCAUCCUGCGAUAUGCGGAAUUUUAAAAGCCAGAAGGCUGCUCUGAGCCACCGGCCCUGCAACACCAACGCUGCCCCUUUUCCCAGGUAAGCAAAACUCACUAACCCUAGUUCAUGGUGUC